rnacentral:rRNA from 1 species
ACGCUGGCGGCAGGCUUAACACAUGCAAGUCGAACGGUAACAGGAAUUAGCUUGCUAAUUUGCUGACGAGUGGCGGACGGGUGAGUAAUGCUUGGGAAUCUGGCUUAUGGAGGGGGAUAACUACGGGAAACUGUAGCUAAUACCGCGUAAAAUCUUCGGAUUAAAGGGUGGGACUUUCGAGCCACCUGCCAUAAGAUGAGCCCAAGUGGGAUUAAGUAGUUGGUUAGGUAAAGGCUGACCAAGCCGACGAUCUCUAGCUAGUCUGAGAGGAUGACCAGCCACACUGGAACUGAGACACGGUCCAGACUCCUACGGGAGGCAGCAGUGGGGAAUAUUGCACAAUGGGGGGAACCCUGAUGCAGCCAUGCCGCGUGAAUGAAGAAGGCCUUCGGGUUGUAAAGUUCUUUCGGUGACGAGGAAGGUUGAUAGGUUAAUAGCCUAUCAAAUUGACGUUAAUCACAGAAGAAGCACCGGCUAACUCCGUGCCAGCAGCCGCGGUAAUACGGGGGGUGCGAGCGUUAAUCGGAAUAACUGGGCGUAAAGGGCACGCAGGCGGUGACUUAAGUGAGAUGUGAAAGCCCCGAGCUUAACUUGGGAAUUGCAUUUCAUACUGGGUCGCUAGAGUACUUUAGGGAGGGGUAGAAUUCCACGUGUAGCGGUGAAAUGCGUAGAGAUGUGGAGGAAUACCGAAGGCGAAGGCAGCCCCUUGGGAAUGUACUGACGCUCAUGUGCGAAAGCGUGGGGAGCAAACAGGAUUAGAUACCCUGGUAGUCCACGCUGUAAACGAUGUCGAUUUGGGGAUUGGGCUUUGAGCUUGGUGCCCGUAGCUAACGUGAUAAAUCGACCGCCUGGGGAGUACGGCCGCAAGGUUAAAACUCAAAUGAAUUGACGGGGGCCCGCACAAGCGGUG